GGAUAGGUAUGCCCAGGCUUGCGGGGUC
rnacentral:sRNA from 1 species